rnacentral:rRNA from 1 species
UCUUCACAAUGGACGAAAGUCUGAUGGAGCAACGCCGCGUGAGUGAAGAAGGUUUUAGGAUCGUAAAACUCUGUUGUUGGAGAAGAACAGGGACUAGAGUAACUGUUAGUCCUUUGACGGUAUCCAACCAGAAAGCCACGGCUAACUACGUGCCAGCAGCCGCGGUAAUACGUAGGUGGCAAGCGUUGUCCGGAUUUAUUGGGCGUAAAGCGAGCGCAGGCGGUUUUUUAAGUCUGAUGUGAAAGCCUUCGGCUUAACCGAAGAAGUGCAUUAGAAACUGGGAAACUUGAGUGCAGAAGAGGACAGUGGAACUCCAUGUGUAGCGGUGAAAUGCGUAGAUAUAUGGAAGAACACCAGUGGCGAAGGCGGCUGUCUGGUCUGUAACUGACGCUGAGGCUCGAAAGUAUGGGGAGCGAACAGGAUUAGAUACCCUGGUAGUCCAUACCGUAAACGAUGAAUGCUAAGUGUUGGAGGGUUUCCGCCCUUCAGUGCUGCAGCUAACGCAUUAAGCAUUCCGCCUGGGGAGUACGACCGCAAGGUUGAAACUCAAAGGAAUUGACGGGGGCCCCC